GGCGAACGGGUGAGUAACACGUGGGCAAUCUACCCCCCGCAGGGGGAUAACCGGGGGAAACCCCGGCUAAUACCCCGUACGCUUGCGGAGUCGCAUGGCUCCGCAAGGAGAGGUAGCUUCGGCAUCCGGCGAGGGAUGAGCCCGCGGUACAUUAGCUAGUUGGUGGGGUAACGGCCACCAAGGCGACGAUGUAUAGCUGGUCUGAGAGGAUGAUCAGCCACACUGGGACUGAGACACGGCCCAGACUCCUACGGGAGGCAGCAGUCGGGAAUCUUGCGCAAUGGGCGAAAGCCUGACGCAGCAACACCGUGUGAGCGACGAAGGCCUUCGGGUCGUAAAGCUCUGUUGUUGGGGACGAAGGGUUAGGGGUUAAUAGCCCCGAGCCUGACGGUACCCUUCGAGGAAGCCCCGGCUAACUACGUGCCAGCCGCCGCGG
rnacentral:rRNA from 1 species